AAAUUGAAGAGUUUGAUCAUGGCUCAGAUUGAACGCUGGCGGCAGGCCUAACACAUGCAAGUCGAACGGUAACAGGAAGCAGCUUGCUGCUUCGCUGACGAGUGGCGGACGGGUGAGUAAUGUCUGGGAAACUGCCUGAUGGAGGGGGAUAACUACUGGAAACGGUGGCUAAUACCGCAUAACGUCGCAAGACCAAAGGGGGGGACCUUCGGGCCUCUUGCCAUCGGAUGUGCCCAGAUGGGAUUAGCUGGUAGGUGGGGUAACGGCUCACCUAGGCGACGAUCCCUAGCUGGUCUGAGAGGAUGACCAGCCACACUGGAACUGAGACACGGUCCAGACUCCUACGGGAGGCAGCAGUGGGGAAUAUUGCACAAUGGGCGCAAGCCUGAUGCAGCCAUGCCGCGUGUAUGAAGAAGGCCUUCGGGUUGUAAAGUACUUUCAGCGGGGAGGAAGGUG
rnacentral:rRNA from 1 species